AGUGAACGCUGGCGGUAGGCCUAACACAUGCAAGUCGAACGGCAGCACAGGAGAGCUUGCUCUCUGGGUGGCGAGUGGCGGACGGGUGGGGAAUACAUCGGAAUCUACUCUGUCGUGGGGGAUAACGUAGGGAAACUUACGCUAAUACCGCAUACGACCUACGGGUGAAAGCAGGGGACCUUCGGGCCUUGCGCGAUUGAAUGAGCCGAUGUCGGAUUAGCUAGUUGGCGGGGUAAAGGCCCACCAAGGCGACGAUCCGUAGCUGGUCUGAGAGGAUGAUCAGCCACACUGGAACUGAGACACGGUCCAGACUCCUACGGGAGGCAGCAGUGGGGAAUAUUCGACAAUGGGCGCAAGCCUGAUCCAGCCAUACCGCGUGGGUGAAGAAGGCCUUCGGGUUGUAAAGCCCUUUUGUUGGGAAAGAAAUCCAGCUGGCUAAUACCCGGUUGGGAUGACGGUACCCAAAGAAUAAGCACCGGCUAACUUCGUGCCAGCAGCCGCCGUAA
rnacentral:rRNA from 1 species